UACGUAGGCAGCAAGCGUUGUUCGGAGUUACUGGGCGUAAAGGGUGUGUAGGCGGCCUUCUAAGUUUGGUGUGAAAUCUCCCGGCUCAACCGGGAGGGUGCGCCGAAGACUGGGGGGCUAGGAGUAUGGGAUGGGAAAGUGGAAUUCCUGGUGUAGCGGUGAAAUGCGUAGAUAUCAGGAGGAACACCUGCGGUGUAGACGGCUUUCUGGACCAUAACUGACGCUGAAACACGAAAGCGUGGGUAGCAAACAGG
rnacentral:rRNA from 1 species